AGAACUCUAAUCUAAUCUAAUCUCAUCCAUGAUCCAUCAUUUCUACACUCUAUGCUCUCUCUCUUCUCUAUUCAACUGCAUAUGCUUUCUAUUACUAUGUUAUAUUUUCCAGUACGGUAGGCUAUAUAGUUUGAGUCUCUCCACUUACUACCUGCUCCACAGUUUCGAAUAAUAGUCCCUUCUUUUGUAAUAGUGUAGGUCUGUCACCAUUGUCCACUGGUCUACCCUCUCUUUCUCAACUCACUCCUUCUCAGUCGGAGUAUUUCGCGCCCUUUUUGGUUGGGUUUGCCUUUUGGUUAGUUGUAGUGUUGUAGUCACUAAACUGUCACUAGUCAGUCGCAAGGGCCAGUUAGUUCAGUUCAUCAUGUAUUGAAUACAGAUUACAGUUCAUGUUUCCAGUGUUUUAUCCGGGAAUUUAUUUGUUUUGAAGUCACUUGAUCUUCUAUUAUCAAUGAGACGUAUGUCGCGUCAUGCGCCGAUACAGCUUUGAAGGGGCGCACAAUCACGAGUAUCAUGGGGAAGCUGGUGACCCUUCGUUGCCAUAUACUUUUCGUGGAAAAGAGUUCAACGCAAGGACGACCAUGAGAUAGAGAAAAAACCAUUCAAGGGCCUUCUCAUAACUAAAGUUAUGAUUGACAUGGAGAAAAGGAGAAGAAACAGUCGUCUGCUGAAGUCAAUGAAGUCGAGACACUUGAAAAUUUUAAUUUGGAGCUCCAGCCAUAAAAUACAAUUCGUCGCAUUACUAUGUUAAUUAUGAAUGUUUAAGUAAAGGAUUUAUUCAUCAAUUUUGAAGUUAUGUAAUUUUUUCAAAUCCAGCUGAAUAUACUAUUUAUUCUAUAAAGGAGAUUAUAUGUCAAUGAUUUUGAAUCAUUCUGAAGAACUUAUUCAAUCAUUUCUAAAGUGAUUUAAAGUAGUUUAUUAAUCAUAAUUUUGCUCACUUAAAGCAUUGUAAAUCAUUGUAGAGUGAUUUGAGAGUAAUUUAAAAGUGUUUUUAAUCUACUUUGAAAUGCUUUGAAGUGAUUUAAAAAGUACAUAAAUCGAUGAUUCUAAAUGAUUUUUAAGAACUUAUUUAAUCAUUUGAAAGUGAUUUUCAAGUAGUUUAUA
rnacentral:lncRNA from 1 species